GACGAACGCUGGCGGCGUGCUUAAUACAUGCAAGUCGAACGGAAAGGCCCUGCUUUUGUGGGGUGCUCGAGUGGCGAACGGGUGAGUAACACGUGAGUAACCUGCCCUUGUCUUUGGGAUAACUUCAGGAAACUGGGGCUAAUACCGGAUAGGAGCUCCUGCUGCAUGGUGGGGGUUGGAAAGAUUCGGCGGUUGGGGAUGGACUCGCGGCUUAUCAGCUUGUUGGUGGGGUAGUGGCUUACCAAGGCUUUGACGGGUAGCCGGCCUGGGAGGGUGACCGGCCACAAUGGGACUGAGAUACGGCGCAGACGCCUACGGGAGGCAGCAGUGGGGAGUAUUGCACAAUGGGCGGAAGCCUGAUGCAGCAACGCCGCGUGCGGGAUGACGUCCUUCGGGUUGUAAACCGCUUUCGCCUGUGACGAAGCGUUAGUGACGGUAAUGGGUAAAGAAGCACCGGCUAACUACGUG
rnacentral:rRNA from 1 species